rnacentral:rRNA from 1 species
UACGUAGGGGGCUAGCGUUGCUCGGAAUCACUGGGCGUAAAGCGCACGUAGGCGGAUUGCUAAGUCAGGGGUGAAAUCCUGGAGCUCAACUCCAGAACUGCCUUUGAUACUGGCGAUCUCGAGUCCGGGAGAGGUGAGUGGAACUGCGAGUGUAGAGGUGAAAUUCGUAGAUAUUCGCAAGAACACCAGUGGCGAAGGCGGCUCACUGGCCCGGUACUGACGCUGAGGUGCGAAAGCGUGGGGAGCGAACAGG